rnacentral:lncRNA from 1 species
AAGAAUUCAAGUUUGAUUUAUUCUUUCAAUCCCCUUUCCUUUCUGCUAGUUUUCUCCUCUCCACUUGUGUGUGAUCCCUGCUUUAGGUGUUUGUUGGUGUUUCUGUCUUCCCGUUUUCAGAGUUUUCUAGCUUCUCUAUCUUUGUUUCUCUCCCAGUUUUUCUUUCCUUGUUCUUGAUUUUCAUCCCUCCCCAUUGGGCUCGUCAUCUUUGUGCCUCUGUG